rnacentral:rRNA from 1 species
UGGGGAAUAUUGCACAAUGGGGGGAACCCUGAUGCAGCGACGCCGCGUGAGUGAAGAAGUAUUUCGGUAUGUAAAGCUCUAUCAGCAGGGAAGAAAAUGACGGUACCUGACUAAGAAGCCCCGGCUAACUACGUGCCAGCAGCCGCGGUAAUACGUAGGGGGCAAGCGUUAUCCGGAUUUACUGGGUGUAAAGGGAGCGUAGACGGUUAUGCAAGUCUGAAGUGAAAGCCCAAGGCUCAACCAUGGGACUGCUUUGGAAACUGUAAAACUGGAGUGCAGGAGAGGUAAGCGGAAUUCCUAGUGUAGCGGUGAAAUGCGUAGAUAUUAGGAGGAACACCAGUGGCGAAGGCGGCUUACUGGACUGUAACUGACGUUGAGGCUCGAAGGCGUGGGGAGCAAACAGG